CCCUUAGAUGUUCUGGGCCGCACGCGCGCUACACUGACGAUGUCAGAGAGUGUCUCCUUCACCGAGAGGUGUGGGUAAUCUUUUAAACAUCGUCGUGCUGGGGAUAGAUCAUUGCAAUUUUUGAUCUUAAACGAGGAAUUCCUAGUAAGCGCGAGUCAUCAGCUCGCGCUGAUUACGUCCCUGCCCUUUGUACACACCGCCCGUCGCUACUACCGAUUGAAUGGUUUAGUGAGGCCUUCUGACUGGCGCCGCUACUCUGGCAACAGAGCGGCGGAUGCCGGGAAGUUGGUCAAACUUGAUCAUUUAGAGGAAGUAAAAGUCGUANCA
rnacentral:rRNA from 1 species